CACUGUGAACACCCUCAUUAUUGUAUUUAUGGGCGUUUAGGUCUCCCUGAGGGUCUAAUACUUUUGAAUUAAAUCCUUGAUGAGUUUUGGGACACCCUUUUGUGUAUUAUUAAGCACAAUUUCUUAAUUAAUUACGUCUGGUUCUCAUCUGUACUUUGGUGUGAUGGUUGGCUUAGAAAGACCAAAGUUUUAAUAUAAAUUCCUGCAUUUUGACAAGAUCUAACCAGUACCAGAGUUGCGAAAAAAACCCAGUUCUUUUCUCCCGACGUUUAAAGACUGAAAAUCCAGAAAAAAAUCAUCCUGGCUUAAAAUCUUCAAGUUUUACACCAAGCAUUGACACGUUUGACUACUUUCAGCAUCAUCGCACUCUGAAAACAUCAAACAACCAUGAAUUGGGUCAUUGAACACAUCGUAGUAGUUGCAAUCAUUCUUCUGGCUUUGUCAACAAUUUUUUUAUCGCUGUCGUGUGUUUUUUUUGCUACGUAUAUGUUACAUUCGGCGUAAAUGUGGAAUUAAAGCGUGAGCGCAUAAACUGCCAAAUGGAGAUAGAGGACAAGUGGAAAAGUAUCGAGAGACGCAAUCGUUUUUCUUCCAGAAUUUUUAGGGGCGAUGAGCAGACAUCUAGAUUUUUGACGAGCUCGUAUGCACCUCGAGUGAAUGUGGCGUUUGAAAUGGAGAAUCUGGGUAAAGCCCUGAUUAGGCUGGAACGCCCUAAUUUACCUGGAAUGGUAAUAGAUGAACUGGAAGAACCUGUGUUUAGCAAGGAAAGCUCUUUUGAACCUGGAAAUAACUUGGAGAAUCUGGUUGUAUUUAGCAAUAGAAAGAAAGCCCAAAUUAUGCUGGAACGCCCUGUUAUACCUGAAAUGGUAAUAGAUGACCUGGAAGAAACUGUGAUAAGCAGAGAAAGCCCUGCUUAACUUGGAAUUAACAUGGAAAAUCUGGCUGUAACUUCCACUUGAAAGAAAAAACUGGAAACUGUGAUGUAAAUAAACUGGACAAAGCCAAAUUAUGAAAAGUCAUCAAUGAAAAUUUUUCCUAAUAUUUUGUAUAUUUUAAUUCAUUUGCAUUGAAUGAAUUAAAAGAAAUGUUAAAUGCUUAUGUUGUUUCUAAAUGGCAUCCAAGAUGUGUUUCGUUUAUUGCUUGCGUAUUUACAGUCACAAGUUGAUUUCCAGUCUGCUCGUAAUCUAGUAGUUAUUAAUAAAUACUUGAAUAAUAAAAAGGUAUUAAAAGUUGCCAAUGAAA